rnacentral:rRNA from 1 species
UACGAAGGGGGCUAGCGUUGUUCGGAAUUACUGGGCGUAAAGCGUGCGCAGGCGGCCAUUCAAGUCAGGGGUGAAAGCCCAGAGCUCAACUCUGGAACUGCCCUUGAAACUGUAUGGCUUGAGUACGAGAGAGGUGAGUGGAAUUCCCAGUGUAGAGGUGAAAUUCGUAGAUAUUGGGAAGAACACCGGUGGCGAAGGCGGCUCACUGGCUCGUAACUGACGCUCAUGCACGACAGCGUGGGGAUCAAACAGG